UACUUACCCACCAUUGCCAUUGGGUUAACACCCCGUCCAAAAAAAACCUCACCAUCACGUCGCUGCCCCGACGGCGUGUCCAGUUUUCGCCCCACCUCUUCCCCAGAUCCUCCCCGCCAGCCACCGCCCUCGACCUAGGCCUUCGUCUGCACGCCGCCGCCGGACCGCCCCGUCCACGUGCCUCCGUCUACACGCCGCCGCCGGACCGCCCCGUCCACGCGCCACCGCCCGGACCGCCCCAUUCACGCGCCGCCGCUCGGGCCGCCCCGUUCACGCGCCCGCCGCCCGGGCCGACCCAUCCACGACGCCGUUGACACCGUUCUCUCCUCGCACGGCCGCCUACAAAGGAACUACAGCUACGACAUAGUAUACAACAACUUGACCGGGCCGCCACGUCCACGCGCCGCCAGGACACAGCCCACGCCGGACCUCCACGCUACAUAACGAACUCGUCUACCAUUGAGAAUGAAAGUGUCACUACUAAUAGUCAACAAGCAAAAAAGAAUACAUGGUAUGCCCGACUGUCUGAUGAGAAGAGAGCAGCAUUCCUCGAAAAACGUCGUAUCUCCCGACAAGAAAAGAAGGCUCAGACUCUGAAUAUUGUUAGUGGUCAACUAGCACCUGAGGCACAUGCUUCGUUAGGAUCCAAGGAAUGUACCCCUUUGAGCAACAUAACCAACACACACACAAAUGAUGCAAGAUGUACAGGGGACUCCACGACUACUGUUCUACAUUCCGGAGAUGCUAAUGUUGGGCGAAAAAGGAGUGCCCAUAAUUGGUAUGCUCGACUAAUAGACGAACAAAGAGCAGAACACUUACACAAGCUGCGGUUGGCUCGCCUGCAAAAAAAGCUGUAGCUGACAGUGUUACUGUCGAAUUACCUCACAGCUUGUACUCGCGAUCUUCACCUGGUUCAGCCAUUACGGUACAAAUCUCCGAGGGUACUUGUCUUCCCGUGGCACAGCACAAAGCGACAACUGCAACCGGCGCUGCGAGUGUCAAACAGCGCCAACCAUCUGGCGAGGAAGCGUCACCUGGUCAGAGCGCCAACAUUUGUUUUCAGUUCAUACUUGCAAUGUCACCUAAAUUGUGGACUGAAGCUGGAAUGCUUAUCAUCCCACAAGUUUCUACAUCAACGGUAGGUAUCACACAUUAUGGAUUGGCACAUUCCAGUAUCACCCGUCUGGGACACAUGCUGGUUGCAGAGCCAAAGACAAAGGAGGACGAUUCUGAUGAUUGGUUGCAUAGGAAUCCAACUUACGUACGGGGAGCGAGGUCGGCUGAACACAAUAGUAACGUCUUACGGACUGGAUCAAGGUCGGCUGAACACAAUAGUAACGUCUUACAGGCAGGAGGAGAGCACGGACAACAUGACUUUGUGCCCACGAGUUUUAUCUUCAGUCCGUCCAUUGAACCACAAGAUUCAGCUGCCCGCUACGAGAAGGAGCGCAUUCAUAAGAGAACGAAAUACUUGGAAAUGAGCACGGACCAGAGAGAUGCCUUAUUAUAUCGGGUUCGCGAGUACAAGAAAAGAAAGUGGACGACUUGUGCCUCAUACGACCAGUACGACCAUGCUGGAGUCAGCAACAUUGACGAGGACUCUGAUGUAGCCGGAAUUUUCGAGCCAAUGAGACCGGAUGCUCAAAUUGAAGAAAACAUGGGCACCUCCCAGGAGGGAGAGACUGUGUAUGAUGAUGAUGAUGAGGAGGAGGAGAGUAGCCGCUUCAGCGCACAAGGUAAUGACUUCGAAUCGUACAGAGUGACAACUGAUGGUUCGUAUGCUUUUGAGACUCAUGAUCCUUACGACUACGUCUACCACAAUAUACCCACCAAGCAUCAUGUUUUGAAGCGAGUAAAAUAUUGUAUCCAUUGUGGAGCAAUUAGGUUACAGUACGAAGGUCCAGCCUUCUGUUGCAAAAAAGGUAAGGUCAAGGUAUUUAUCCCAGAGGUUCCUCAAGAGCUGCAACAAUUAUUUUCAAGUCAGGUAGAUGAGGAUGCAAAGUACUUUAGGCAGCACAUUCGAUAUUUCAACUCCCACUUCUCCUUCACAAGCCUUGGAGUUACCCUGGACAAACGGGUCAACACCGCGGCAAGAACCGGUGUAUACACCUUCCGUGCUCAUGGUCAGUUGUACCACCGUCUAGACCAUCUUGUACCAGGUGAUCACGGACCCAGGCAUUUGCAGCUAUAGAUUUAUGAUAUAGACGAAGCCUUAGAACAUAGGGUGAAGCACUCUCCAGAUCUAGAUAUCAACCUCAUACAGAAGAUUCUGCGUAUACUGGAGAACAACCCAUAUGUAAGGACUUUUAAGAGCCUUGGUUCAGUUCCAGACCUAGCAGAAUAUAAAAUUACACUAAACACAAAUAUAAAAUUGGACCAACGGAGGUACAAUGCCCCUACAGCUUCACAGGUGGCUACAAUGUGGGUUGAAGGUACUGACCCUCAACACACUUUUGAGAGAAGUGUUAUUGUGCAUGGAAAAGGGGACCAUCCUUUGUACAUCAGAGCCUACUAUGGAUGCUAUGAUCCUUUAGCGUACCCAUUAUUUAACCCAGAUGGAGAGAUAGGAUGGAACCGUUGCCUGCCAUAUGAGGGACCAACACCGGCUCAGGCAGGCAAUGACGAUGACAACGACAACCAAGACGAUGAACGAGAAGCAGAUGACAACGAAGAACAAGAUGAUGAUGAAGUCACUGAGUCUAAAAAAUAUGUUAGUGUGAGGGAGUAUUACUGUUUCAAGUUGCAGAUCAGGGAAGGAAUUUUUAACAUCCUAUUGUUUGGGAGGCCUCUUAUCCAACAG